GGAAAAUUUUGACCAGUAACCUUUGUCCACUGGAAAAGAGUCUAUGUAGAAUUAGAUGUUCGUUACCUGGCUAUGCAAAUAAAUAUGGGGAUGUAUGAAU
rnacentral:sRNA from 1 species